AAAACCAUUAACCAUAUGAACUUUGUCAAGAAAAGAGCCUUUCCCUCUUCAAUGGAAUUAAGGUAGCGCCAGGUGGCCCUGCUAGAGCAUUGUGGGUGAUUUGCAUGCAAAACGAGCCGCGACCACCGCGCGGGAAUCCCAAAGCAAUGAAUGAGAGUUCCUGUUGCUCUACAUCCUCACCAGCAUUUGAUGUUGCAAGCGUUUUGGAUUUGGGCCAUUAUCAUAGGUCUUUUUUUACAAGGGACAGUGGUGACCAUGAUUGGGCCUAUUCCUAGCUGCUGGGGAGGUGUCCUCUGUUCUCCGGGACCUGCGGCCGGUCGAGAAUUGACACGUGUGCCACAGGAGGUGGCAAUGCUCAGAAUCCACCCAGACUUCCUUCAGAAGCAUUCCUCAGUAAUGGUGGGGAGAUGCUGCUGCAAAGGCCUGGGCUGCUGUGGAAGAAUCCAGCUCUCUGUAGCUGCCUUAUCUCUUUGCAGCACAACCUCUGCUCUCAACUGCUUGUUAUGUUGGGAAGCUAUCGAUUCCGUUCUGUAGUGAUGGAAGCAAAGAAGGAAAAGGAAAAGAACUGAUUCUGAGAGAAUGCUGUUGAGAACUUAACCGAGAGGCUUCCAUGAAACAGCAGAGUUGAAAACGAAGACGCACGCAAACUUUCUGUUUCUGAGUGCUUUUUAUUCUGGAGAUAAAGGGCAGUGUGUAUUCUGAGUAAAUAUGAGAGCGGCAGACAUGCGGCUGUCAAAUGAACCCUUCUGUGGAAAGUGCAGCCCCCAGUGAGAAGAGGACCCUCUGGAUUCUGGAACUGGUCCUCAACUGAGGCUCUGGGCUGAUGGGAACUCUCGUUGGGCCUGCCUCCCACUUCCAGGAGGUAGGGAGAGCUGGCAAAGGUGCCGCUGCCCAUUAGGGUGGCGUCAGGAAGGGGCUUUCUGAACAUAGUCCAUCGCUACAGCCCCAAGCAGGGGAGAGCUCAGGGCAUCACCAGUGUGACCUGAGAGCACUGUCUUCAGCAGCGUCAGUUUCCAUUCCAUCCUUUCCUCCCCGGCCCCUUCAUCCCAUCAUCCACCAAAACCUUCCACCCCUUGCUCCAGCUCCAGAGGGGCCCUUUAGCUUACUUCACCUGCCCCUUAGGAAUAAACUGACUUCUAGACCAAGGCCUUGAAAAUUCUGUAAAUUACAGUCAGUAAUUUUUUUUGAGCCUGUCCACAUGCUCUCAGAAGCUCCCUGCCAGGAAUUGAACCCAUACCACAGCAAAGGCCUGAGCUGCUGCAGCGACAGCACCAAGUCCUUAACCCGCUAU